rnacentral:rRNA from 1 species
AUUGAACGCUGGCGGCAGGCUUAACACAUGCAAGUCGAGCGGAGAUGAGGUGCUUGCACCUUAUCUUAGCGGCGGACGGGUGAGUAAUGCUUAGGAAUCUGCCUAUUAGUGGGGGACAACAUUCCGAAAGGAAUGCUAAUACCGCAUACGCCCUACGGGGGAAAGCAGGGGAUCUUCGGACCUUGCGCUAAUAGAUGAGCCUAAGUCGGAUUAGCUAGUUGGUGGGGUAAAGGCCUACCAAGGCGACGAUCUGUAGCGGGUCUGAGAGGAUGAUCCGCCACACUGGGACUGAGACACGGCCCAGACUCCUACGGGAGGCAGCAGUGGGGAAUAUUGGACAAUGGGCGGAAGCCUGAUCCAGCCAUGCCGCGUGUGUGAAGAAGGCCUUCUGGUUGUAAAGCACUUUAAGCGAGGAGGAGGCUACCUGGAUUAAUACUCUAGGAUAGUGGACGUUACUCGCAGAAUAAGCACCGGCUAACUCCGUGCCAGCCGCCGCCGUAA